rnacentral:snRNA from 1 species
GGAUGUGAGGGCGAUCUGUCACCCCAUUAAUCGCCAGGGUUGAUUCAGCUGAUCUGGCUGGCUAGGCGGGUGUCCCGUUCCUCUUUCACCGCUGCGCGCUCGGUUGAAGAGGACAGCCUUCCCUGAGUAGAGACGGACCGGUCUUCCGGUCAAGGGUAUAUGAGUAGCUGCAUUCCCCUGAUAGAACCUCCAAACAAAAAUAAAAAAGGUCGACAAAAGAGAAUAAAUACAUUUUUUUUAAAAAAAGAACAUAUAUGUGUGCACUAAAAUAUGUAUCACAU